rnacentral:lncRNA from 1 species
UGGGGUGGGCACAAGGGCCAUAGGUCUGAUAUGGGGAGGCAUAUAUAGGGUGUGGCCAGGGUUUGUUUGGGGUGGUCUCAGCUGGUUGGGGUGUGGCUGGUCAUGCUGUGGUCUGGGUUUAGGUCCUCAUGGCGUGGGUUCUCUCGGUGCAGGUCCUUUGGGAGGGAGUCUUGCUGGUCUGGGAGGGUGUCUCGCUGGUCUGGGUGGGAUGUCUGUUGCUCCUGUGUAAGGGGCUACGGUUGAGGGCGACGUCCUUCAGGGUCCUGGAAAAAGUUGGGAUUGCUGCCUUGUAGAGGUGGACCUGGCCGUAAAGGCUGUUCAAGUCCAAAGUGGAGUGGUGGGCCAGGUAGACCCUCCAUCACACAGACUGGAUCCUCCCCAUCACUCAGACACGAUCCCUCCAUCACUCAGACAUGAUCCCUCCAUCACACAGACUGGAUCCUCCCCAUCACUAAGACAUGAUUCCUCCAUCACUUGAGACAUUAUUCCUCCAUCACUCAGACAUGAUCCCUCUAUCACUCAGACAUGAUCCCUCCAUCACACAGACUGAUCCUCUUCAUCACUCAGACUGGAUCCUCCCUAUCACACAGACAUGAUCCCUCCAUCACACAGACUGGAUCCUCCCCAUCACUCAGACAUGAUCCCUCCAUCACACAGACAGGAUCCUCCCCAUCACUCAGACAUGACCCCUCCAUCACACAGAUAGGAUCCCUCAUUCACACAGACUGGAUUCUCCCCAUCACACAGACUGGAUCCUCCCAUCACACAGAGAGGAUCCUCACCAUCACUCAGACAGGAUCCUCCCCAUCACUCAGACAGGAUCCCUCCAUCCCUCAGACAUGAUCCCUCCAUCACACAGACAGGAUCCCUUCAUCACACAGACUGGAUCCUCCCCAUCACUCAGACAUGAUCCCUCCAUCACACAGACUGGAUCCUCCCUACCACACAGACAAGAACCCUCCAUCACUCAGACAUGAUCCCUCUGUCACACAGACUGGAUCCUCCCUAUCACACAGACAUGAUCCCUCCAUCACACAGAUAGGAUCUCCAUCACACACACUGGAUCCUCCCCAUCAUCAAAUAGAUCCCUCCAUCACACAGACUGGAUCCUCCCCAUCACCACGACAUGAUCCCUCCAUCACACAGACUGGAUCCCCCCAUCACUCAGACAUGAUCCCUCUAUCACACAGACCUGAUCCUCCCUAUCACUCAGACAUGACCCUCCAUCAAACAGACAUGAUCCCUCCAUCACUCAGAAAUGAUUCCCUCUAUCACACCAGACUGGAUCCUCCCCAUCACCCCGACAUGAUCCCUCAUCACACAGACUGGAUCCCCCCAUCACUCAGACAUGAUCCCUCCAUCACACAGACUGGAUCCCUCCAUCACACAGACAUGAUCCUCCCUAUCACACAGACUGGAUCCUCCCCAUCACUCAGACAGGAUCCCUCCAUCACACAGAUAGGGUCAGAAGUAGACAGACCU